CCUACGGGUGGCAGCAGUAGGGAAUAUUGGUCAAUGGGGGAAACUCUGAAGCAGCAACGCCGCGUGGAGGAUGAAGGUUUUCGGAGUGUAAACUCCUUUUGUUAGAGAAGAAAAUGAAGGUACCUAACGAAUAAGGAACGGCUAACUCCGUGCCAGCAGCCGCGGCAAUACGGAGGGUGCAAGCGUUACACGGAACCACUGGGCGGAAAGAGCGCGUAGGCGGGAUAGAAAGUGAGAUGUGAAAUCCUAAGGUUUAACCAUAGAACUGCAUUUGAGACUGUUAAUCUAGAGGAUGUGAGGGGUAGGUGGAAUGCUUGGUGUAGGGGUAAAAUCCGUAGAGAUCAAGAGGAAUACUCAUUGCGAAGGCGACCUGCUAGACCAUUACUGACGCUGAUGCGCGAAAGCGUGGGGAGCAAACAGGAUUAGAUACCCCGGUAGUC
rnacentral:rRNA from 1 species